rnacentral:rRNA from 1 species
AGAGUUUGAUCAUGGCUCAGAUUGAACGCUGGCGGCAGGCCUAACACAUGCAAGUCGAACGGUAACAGGAAGAAGCUUGCUUCUUUGCUGACGAGUGGCGGACGGGUGAGUAAUGUCUGGGAAACUGCCUGAUGGAGGGGGAUAACUACUGGAAACGGUAGCUAAUACCGCAUAACGUCGCAAGACCAAAGAGGGGGACCUUCGGGCCUCUUGCCAUCGGAUGUGCCCAGAUGGGAUUAGCUUGUUGGUGGGGUAACGGCUCACCAAGGCGACGAUCCCUAGCUGGUCUGAGAGGAUGACCAGCCACACUGGAACUGAGACACGGUCCAGACUCCUACGGGAGGCAGCAGUGGGGAAUAUUGCACAAUGGGCGCAAGCCUGAUGCAGCCAUGCCGCGUGUAUGAAGAAGGCCUUCGGGUUGUAAAGUACUUUCAGCGGGGAGGAAGGGAGUAAAGUUAAUACCUUUGCUCAUUGACGUUACCCGCAGAAGAAGCACCGGCUAACUCCGUGCCAGCAGCCGCGGUAAUACGGAGGGUGCAAGCGUUAAUCGGAAUUACUGGGCGUAAAGCGCACGCAGGCGGUUUGUUAAGUCAGAUGUGAAAUCCCCGGGCUCAACCUGGGAACUGCAUCUGAUACUGGCAAGCUUGAGUCUCGUAGAGGGGGGUAGAAUUCCAGGUGUAGCGGUGAAAUGCGUAGAGAUCUGGAGGAAUACCGGUGGCGAAGGCGGCCCCCUGGACGAAGACUGACGCUCAGGUGCGAAAGCGUGGGGAGCAAACAGGAUUAGAUACCCUGGUAGUCCACGCCGUAAACGAUGUCGACUUGGAGGUUGUGCCCUUGAGGCGUGGCUUCCGGAGCUAACGCGUUAAGUCGACCGCCUGGGGAGUACGGCCGCAAGGUUAAAACUCAAAUGAAUUGACGGGGGCCCGCACAAGCGGUGGAGCAUGUGGUUUAAUUCGAUGCAACGCGAAGAACCUUACCUGGUCUUGACAUCCACGGAAGUUUUCAGAGAUGAAUUGGUGCCUUCGGGAACUGUGAGACAGGUGCUGCAUGGCUGUCGUCAGCUCGUGUUGUGAAAUGUUGGGUUAAGUCCCGCAACGAGCGCAACCCUUAUCCUUUGUUGCCAGCGGUCCGGCCGGGAACUCAAAGGAGACUGCCAGUGAUAAACUGGAGGAAGGUGGGGAUGACGUCAAGUCAUCAUGGCCCUUACGACCAGGGCUACACACGUGCUACAAUGGCGCAUACAAAGAGAAGCGACCUCGCGAGAGCAAGCGGACCUCAUAAAGUGCGUCGUAGUCCGGAUUGGAGUCUGCAACUCGACUCCAUGAAGUCGGAAUCGCUAGUAAUCGUGGAUCAGAAUGCCACGGUGAAUACGUUCCCGGGCCUUGUACACACCGCCCGUCACACCAUGGGAGUGGGUUGCAAAAGAAGUAGGUAGCUUAACCUUCGGGAGGGCGCUUACCACUUUGUGAUUCAUGACUGGGGUGAAGUCGUAACAAGGUAACCGUAGGGGAACCUGCGGUUGGAUCACCU